GUGGGGAAUAUUGCACAAUGGGCGCAAGCCUGAUGCAGCGACGCCGCGUGAGGGAAGACGGUCUUCGGAUUGUAAACCUCUGUCAUCGGGGACGAUAAUGACGGUACCCGAGAAGGAAGCUCCGGCUAACUACGUGCCAGCAGCCGCGGUAAUACGUAGGGAGCAAGCGUUGUCCGGAAUUACUGGGUGUAAAGGGAGUGUAGGCGGGAGCGCAAGUUGAAUGUUAAAUCCACCGGCUUAACUGGUUGCCGCGUUCAAAACUGCGUUUCUUGAGUGAAGUAGAGGUUGGCGGAAUUCCUAGUGUAGCGGUGAAAUGCGUAGAUAUUAGGAGGAACACCAGUGGCGAAGGCGGCCAACUGGGCUUUUACUGACGCUGAGGCUCGAAAGCGUGGGGAGCAAACAGGAGUAGAAACCCGGGUAGUCC
rnacentral:rRNA from 1 species